GAAAUGCGAUAAUUAAUGUGAAUUGCAGAAUUCAGUGAAUCAUCGAGUCUUUGAACGCACAUUGCGCCCCCUGGUAUUCCGGGGGGCAUGCCUGUCCGAGCGUCAUUGCUGCCCUCAAGCACGGCUUGUGUGUUGGGCUUCCGUCCCUGGCAACGGGGACGGGCCCAAAAGGCAGUGGCGGCACCAUGUCUGGUCCUCGAGCGUAUGGGGCUUUGUCACCCGCUCCCGUAGGUCCAGCUGGCAGCUAGCCUCGCAACCCAUCUUUUUAACCAGGUUGACCUCGGAUCAGGUAGGGAUACCCGCUGAACUUAAGC
rnacentral:misc_RNA from 1 species